rnacentral:sRNA from 1 species
UUACACUCACAUUGUGCAAGAAACCAUCAGCUGUAAUCUAAAUGACAGAGCAAAUGCAUCUUUCUUGCAACUGGACUCACAGCCACGGGCUGCUGGGUCAGAGUGUUUACAACAUCCCAGGGGACUCUUCUCAUAAAUGAAAUUGCUUCAAGGAAGAAUUCACUCGGGUUUGCCCACAACUUAAACACGACUGGGGAAAAUCGAUGUUUUAAAUAGCAAACGCAUGACUCACCUCCAUCUUGGAUGAUGAUCUUAUCAGGGUGGAAGCAGCCUUGUGGCUGGCAGCCAUCUUUACUAAGGUUAGAGAUCACAUGAAAUGUUACUUCACUACCAUCUUCAGAUGUCUAGUGGUAUAAACCAACUAAAGUAGCAAUUAGAAAACCUCUUAAUCCUAUGGAGAGCUCUGCUUACCACUGUACAUAGACUAAAGGAGCAACGCAGGUCUUCAAAGUACCUUGGAUUAGGAUGGCUUUUCAUAUGACAAUAAAUUCCUAAGGUUAUAAAGAUAUACUCAUGCUAACAGAACUGACUUAGAGAUAUUUAUCUGACCACUUAUGUCUUUGCUAACAUAGAUCUUUGCUGUUCAUCAGCAGGCUUCUAGAAAAUGAGAACAUAUUUUUGAUGAAUAAGGUAUGCUUAAUAAGUAAGGUUUAUAAAUUCCUAUGUUCUACUCAUGUUAACAGUAACUAAGUUGAAGAUAUAUGUCUAGCCUCUUUGUCCUUGCUAAAUUUGUUUUAAGCUUUAGCUAUUUGGGCAAACUGGGACAUACAAGGUACUGUGGUAUUCUAUAAUGGCACACUAUGCAAGAAUCAAAAAGUAGAAGUCCUGGUUUCUCUGUGGACUAUAUUUGUGGUUUAAAGUUUAAUUUUGAUGCUAAAGGGUCUGUAAUUAAAUAUUCUACUCAUAUUUUUAAGGCUCAAACUAAACAGGGAUAGAAUGGCAAAAUCUUAAUUUUAUAAAAGCUACUAACUUAUAAACUUAAAGGUAACUAAGACAUAUGAGUUAAUGCUCAGUCACCUUAUAUGUGACCAAAUUCUUUAAUGUGCUCAGAACUAUGUUGAUAGUAGUCAUGCUAAAUACAAACGUAAUUCAUUUACACAACCAAGAUUUAUAUAGCCUUUUGUAAAUGUUUUCAAGGCUAAGCCUGAAACUGGUAACUAAAACAAGUAGAAUUUUGUAAAAUCAUAUAUAUUAUCAUAGAUAAUGGUCCUCAAACUCUUCAGAGAUAUGUUAAAUACAGCAUUUAAAAUGUUUAAUGAAAACGCUUUCCAUCAUAGACAGAAAUGCUACCUCCUAGAGGCGACCCUAAGUUUUCCAAAGGUGAUAAUGGGCCACAGAUGACUCCACCUGGAUUGUGGUAAUGCUAACCAGUGGGGAAAACUGCCCCAUGCCUUGCCUGCCACCAGGGACCUGCCUAACCGUGGACAAGGUUGGAGUUGACUGAUCUCCUCUGUCUCAUCAAGGAGAGAUUCUAAGGAAGGACUCAGAGCAGCAGUGUGCUCAUGUCAGCCAAGAGGAGCUCACAUGGUCAUCCUCGGCCUGGAUCUCACUUUCCUGAUGAGGAACCCCCAAGCAGAGGAACAUGCACACUCCAUAGUCACAACCCCUCCCCAGACUACUCUGCAGAUGCCUCAGACCCCUCGAUGGUUAUCUCCAGUGUGGCACAGCCCUGCUGCAUUCAGGGUCUCCUCUUCUGAGAUCCUACUGCAGUAGCAGUGGGCACAGAGCUGGACCUGAGGGCUGGAACACCUGAUCCCUGACCUCCGGACAGACCUGGGGCCUUUGAAGAGAAUGGUCUUGAAGCCAGCAGCUCCAACAUAGGAAUGUUAUAUAUGAACCCAACCUUCUAAGGGUACACUGGUCAAGACAGGAGGGCAGAGCAUAUUCUUAUUGAACAGGCUGUAGUCUACUGUAUAAACUUCAACUAUUUAGACAGUAUUCAGUAACGAUGCUCCACUUAAACCUGUGCUUGGGCCCCUGGAUGCAGGAGGGCCAGGUUAAGGGACGUGAUGUUUCUAGUCUUCUGUUGCAGCUAUGGCUCCUUGUUGUUUUCCCAGACCCUGGAGCCGGCUCUGUACUGCUGUCCUCACACUCUCAGGCACUGAGGAUGAUGGUCCUUGCUGACCUAGUAGGUGUGAAGUCGCACACUAUCACCUCCUUCUGUGUUUCUUUGAUCAACUGCAAGAAUGAAAGGGAAAGUCACCUUCAUUGAGCUUUUACUGUGUACCAAGCUCUGUGGGGAAGCAUUCCGCCUCUGUUUACUCUGCUCCUCCCGUGAGGACCCUGGGAGAAGAAGAAAAAGGGACUUUCAGCAUGGCAGUGAAUGGUCGACACUUACAGGGUUGGAAGCCAGGUUUGUCCAAAUUCUGAGAUUUUAAAUUGUACUAUAGACAUGUAUAUAUUUUCUAAAUGCAUCCCCGGUGUGGUGUCUGACUUUUAACUUAGUAUUUUAAACUUUUAAUUUUGGAGUAGUUUCAAAUUCAUAGCGAAGUUCAGUGAUGAACAGGAUUUCUUUAUAGCUUUUGCCUGAUGUUGUCUGUUGUUAACAUCUUAAGAAGACUGCCAUCAAAACCAUUCACUACUUACAAAAAGAUUUAAAAUUAU